AUACUGCACAUUAGACAAAAACAACAACAAAAAAAAAGACAAGCAAACAAAAAAAAAAGAGCUUUUUAAGCUUCUGAGGAUAUACCAACGGAAGAUAUUAUUUUGGCCAAAGAAGUGCCAGUAAGGAUUCUACCGCUGAUGCCUCUUUUGUGUCUAGUUUUUGAUGACUCUUCCCAUGAGGAUUUGGCACUGAACACAGGAUAAAAGAAAUACAGAUUUCUGACUCCCAUAACCCCACCACUCAAUAAAGUCAGAAUGUGUUCUCACUUUCAUAAUAAGGGACAAGUUAAUGAAGAAAUGUGGGAAAGAAAAUGUUUUAUCUGUAGACACUUUCACAGACAGAUCUUCUAGGGAUUCCUGAUGAUCACAUUUUUAACUGAUUAUUUUUAAUAUCAAAAAACUAACAUCACUUUGCUAAAAGUUGUCUUCAUACAUUUGACAAAUACUAAAGGUUUAAUGGAUGUGGUCAAGUCAACACUCCUUUCAGUGCUAUUCUUGUGAGUGAGAUUUCUGUUGAAGUCUCUUGCUUCAUCCCUGUUUGGUUGUGUGUAGCUUCAACACAGAGGUUUAAGAAAGACCUAGUACAUUAUUAUGCCAGGCAUAAAUGUUCCUCCUACAGGGCUCUGCCAGCACUGAGACCCUUACAAAUGACUAACUGUAGCUGAUCUGUAAGGGCACCCCUGAAAUAGAGGUGAUUCUGUGCCUCAUUGAGGUUGUCAGGCCACAAUAUAAUUGCCAUUUUUGUUGCUGUACACAGAGGACUCUGUUCAUGUAAUUUAUGUAAAUGAAUACAGCAGUUUGUGAUAGACUCAGCUGUCUCAGAGUACACAGAUAAAUAGAAACAAAAAUACUUGUAAAUAAAGCAAAGAGAUUGCUAAACUUUGGAGGAGAAAAAUCCACAGCUUUGUAACACUGCUUUGAGAAUGCCAGCAAUGGGCAGAAAAUGGUUAAGGAAAAGAUCUAAUUCUAGCAACACCAGCACAUCACAUGGGUUAGACAUGGACUGUCAGCACGAGAUGAGCUGGAGAAAGGAGAUGGAGAACUGUUUUUCUUUUUCUCACUGCAUUGCAUCUGCAGAGUCCAAGUUUCUUUACAAAUAUAACAUGAUUCUCCAAACUAGGUACUAGAGGUCACAUUUUAAAACACUCACGUUGGACAGAUUCUUCAUUUUCUCCAUGUGAUCACUUAUGAAGGAAAAAGGCAAAUUAGAAAAGGGAGCAGUGCAAAUUAUGCCAUGCACUUCACUGUGGACUGGGAAGACCAUGGGUACAAAACAGAGGCGUCACCUGAGAUUCCACCCCUCCCAGGUGUGCUUCUGCUGCCAUUUUUGAUGGGCUAAUUCCAUUUCUUGGGCCAUAGCAGAAAAAAAAAAUCUUAGUUGGUAACAGGAAGAUGGGAGCAACUGAGGACAAAAAUCAUUACUAUUACCUGCUGAAAACAGGCUUGGACAAGGUUCUCAGGGAACAUAUUCCUGUUGAAGAUAUGAAAAGCAGUAUUAUGGUAGGGCCAAAAGUGGGAUCAUUUUUCUCAUACUAAGUUUCUCAUACUCUACAUAGGAGGAAAUGAACAUAAUAUAGAAUAAAUACUGUUUUCUCUUCUAGCCUCUCCUUUGUAUAAUACUUCCUUGCAUUAAGACUUAUUUCUUUCAUCCUCAGCCUAAACUGAGUACCAGAAAACUGUCCAGCAACUGUCACGUAACAAUUCACUAAGUGACAGGCUGGCCGAACUCAAUGAGAUAUUGCACUGGCAGGAGGAUACUCCCAGGCAAAAGGCAAUUCUUUAACUUCUGCACAUUACUGUUUUGGAGCCUUUUGAGGUGAUGUGGCUUUGGUUUAGGGCAGAGUUCAGGCCCCCUGAAGCUCCCUGGAUAAACUUCUGAAUGCCACUGAAACCUUCCCAUCCACCACUUUUUAUCCAUUCAUUAAAGCAGAGCUGCAGAGGUUAAGCUGGCUACCACACCUGAGUGCACUUCCUCCCUUUCUUUCCACUGUAGACAUCAUCCUUUAAGUGUCAGUAUGGUUAUCUAGAUGCUUAUUUCCCUCAAAUAACCAGUGUGGGCAGGGAGACACAGUCAGACCUGCCUCUACAUGCCUGCCAUCAUUGGAAGACUUGCCUCCUGCAGGCAGACAGCAUGAGCAGAGAGAAACAGCCAGACCUGCCCCUGUGCAUAUGCUGCCAUCAGGAAGCCUACUUCCCUCAGGUAACCAGUGUGGACAGGGUGAUACAGCCAGAUAUACCCUAUGCAUCUGCAGACCAUUGGAGAUGCUUCCUUCCUGUGAGCAACCAGCACAGGCAAGGAGAGUCACACAAACAUGCCUCUGUGCACCUGCCACCAUCAGGAGAAUCCCAUGGAGCUAUGUAAGCUGACAGAAGCAGCAACCCUGCCACCAUGCACCCAUGGCCAUCAGGAAAGUCUCGGUGUAGCUACAUGGGUCUGGAGAAUCUUGCUCCAUGCCUCACUUCCCUGGGAACUUAGGUCCAGAGAAACCCAGGUGCCUGGCCCAUUCCCCUACACUGUGGAGGAGCAGCCAACAUGGGAAUUGCCUGGGACCCCUCAACCAGCUUGUUGGGAGGAACCUAGGAAAAUGUCAAGACGAAGGGGCAAAAGGCAAUCUCAGACCUCCAGCCUACACAGAACAAGUCUCGGAGAUAUAGACAUGGAAGAAAAUGAAAUCACACAUACCUGAAAUCUCCCAAGAGGAUAGUGACAAAAGUGAAGAAACAACUUCAUUAAACUGUAAAAGUAAUCCAAUCAGAAAUAAUAUCUGAGGUAAAAGAAGAAAUCACAAAUGUAAUAAAAGAAUUGCUGAGCAUAUUUAAAGAAGACACAGAUAAAGAGGAGCAUAGGAAAAUGAUGGAAACCUUGAGUGAACAAUAUAGGAAGAAAUUACAAAGCACGAAACAGAUUCAGAGAUAUCCAGAAAGUUAAAAACUCUACUGAAAGCUGCAAAACCACUUGAAGGAGACUGAAGAUAAACUUUCAGACUUUGAAGAAAGAAUUGCAGCUAGUGAUUGUGAAAACAUCUCUUAAAAAUAACAGGGAACUAGGAAAUAACAAUUCAAUAGCUGCAAGACAAUGCAAAGAAAAAUAAUUUAAGAAUGAUAGGUGUCAGCAGGGGCCAAUACAAGUGACAUAAAAAGUCUAUUUACAGAAGUAACAGAAUAUUUUCCAAACACGGGGGAAGGACCUGGCAUACAUAUAUGAAAAACAUAUCUGCAUGUAUGUUUAUAUUUAUUUUUGGUACUAGGGGUCAAACUCAUAACCACACAGGUGCUUACACCACUGACCUAAAUCCUCAGCUACACAAAUAGAACUUCAACUAGCCAUAACCAAAAUAAAUCUAAACCUAGACAUAUAAUAAUCAAGACCUCAGAAAUUCAGCACAAGAAUAAAAUAUUAAAAGUUGUUCAAGAGGGGCCUCUUACAUUCCCUUGUAUGCAAGAAACAAAAAGUAUGAGAAGAGGAAGCAACAAGAAAGGGUCCUCAGUCCCCAAUCCUGAGAACACUGAUCCAGGAAAGGGAAAUGCAAAGGAAGACAGAAAACAUGCAAUAACAGACAUGGCACUAAUAGACAUAAAGCACUAUCUCCAGAACCUCAUAGACGAGUUUAAAAAUGAAGUAUUUAACGAAAUAAAGCAAAAUAUAAGUAGAAUAGUUAGAGAAAUGCUAAGCACCGCCCAAGAAAAAACAGAUGGUGGAAUGGAAGAACAGAAGAAAAGGGGAGAAUUGUUUAAUGGAGAAAAUAGAGAAAACAGAAUACGUGAAGCAGGUUCAAAGAGAUUACCAGGAAACUAAAAACUCUAUCGAAAGCUGACAUAACAGCUUGAAAGAAACUAAGGAUAGAUUAUCUGAAUUGGAGGCCAGAUUUGUAAUAUGGGAACAUGAAAUGAAAAACUUCUUAAAAAUAACAAGAAAACAAACAGCAAUAAUACAAAGGCUAGAAGAUGAUAAGAGGAUCCAUAACUUAAGAACAUAAAAGAAGAAGUAGAGACACAAACAAAUGGGCUACAAAAGCUAUUCACAGAAAUAAUCCAAGAGAAUUUCCCUAAUUUAGCAAAAGGUAAAGAUACUCAGAUGUAUGAAGCAUACAGGACCCCAGCCACCUACAACCCAAACAGAGCUACACCCAGGCAUAUAAUAAUCAAAAUUCCAGAAAUCCAAGAUAAGAACAGAAUACUAAAAGCCAUCAGAGACAAGAAACAGAUCACUUACAAGAGAACACCCAUCAGAAUUACAGCAGACUUCUCGGCACAAACUAUCAAAUCACGAAGAGUGUGGGGGGAAAUAAUUCAAGCUUUGAAAGACAAUAACCUCCAGCCACGAUUGAUAUAUCCUGCACAACUGUCCCUAGAAAUUGAUGGAAAAACAAGGUGCUUCCAGGAAAAGAGGAACUAGGGGAAUUUGCAACCACCAAUUCAACUCUACAGAGAAUACUGCAGGAUAUUCUAAAAAAGAAAAAUACCAAGAUUCCAGAAACAGUGGCAGAGAGGCCACAAUGAAUGGAGCAGAAAGCAAAAUGAAGAAGACAAACUUAUAACUAAUGACAGAAAAAGAGCUCAACAGAAAUGAGGCAGAGAAGGUUGGAUGGUAGGAACAGCUAUUUUGGAGAAAACAAGACAUCAUAAUAGCUAGUGCUGAUUUAAUAUCAUCUUGUUUUUGAAGUCCCAUCAAGCUUUUGUUCUUCUGUCUCCACUGGUCUUAACACGUUGUAUCUUAUUGGUUUUAUUAUAUGUGAUAAUAUAAACAAAAAUUUUUAUAGGCAAGGAGAUUAUACAGAAACCAUUGUUCAUUUUCUGUUAGUUGACUCUAAAUACCCUGUAAUACUGUCAUUCUCUUGAAUGGUUUUACAUUGUCUUGAUAUGUUUGAUGUUACAGUAUAUGAAGUUAUACUCAAAGAUUUCAAGGAAAGAGACCUAUGGUAACUACUUUUAUGUUGGGAUUAUCUUGUGGUGAAACACUAUUUUGCUUAAAUGGUUAUGUUUUGACCUGUGCUGUUUUGUUGUUAUGCCCUCUUUUAUCUCAAUCUCCUUUUUUAUUUACUUUUUCAUUUUUAUCCUUUUAAUUAAGGGAAAAGUAAAUAAAAAAUAGCAGGAUACAUUAUAGUAACCCACUUUGAUUUCCUAUUAACUUGAUUUGAAACCCUAUAUAGCCUUUACCAUCUUGCUUUGACUGAUUUUCCUCUAUUCUGCUUUGCUUGAUAGUACCAAGUUUGAAAGUAUAGGCAACAACUGUAAAGACAAUAAGAUUCAUUAUGACACCCAUUCUGGUUGACUAUUAUCUUCUUUUAAAGUCCUAUAAUGUCUCCAAUGUUUUGGUUUUAUUCUUUACUGUUUUGUUCAAUUUUAUUAUAACUGAUGAUAUAGGCAAUUCUUUUUAAGAUAGCAAGAGGCAGUAUGGUAACCAUUGUUGAUCACCUUGUAUUUUGUUUUUACAUUAUCUAUUAUGUCCAUCCUUUUGAUUUGACUGACUGUUCUGUUAUGUCACAUUUGGUUUUACUCUCUUCAAAAAAAAGUAAUAAGAACUGUGGGAGUAAUAAAACCCAAAAUGUGUAAUUGUCAUUGUAAAAAAGAAAAGAAAGUGCUCUAAAGAAUAUAACUGCAUAUAUAUUUAAGUGUAUAAGAUAGAUAACCAUAUUACUGAGUUUUGUUGGAUCAUUGAACAAAACUGUUUCCAGUCUCACUUUUUGAAAGUCCACUUAAUAUGCUUUAAUUUUGUAUCUUGAACAACUAUUUCUAAGAUAACAAUAUGUGAUCUAUUAACUAGUGAUUUCCUAUUGUUUAUUUUUUCUGAAAUUCUGUAUAACUUGUACCUUUUUUCUGUUUUUCUUUUCUUUUUCUCCUUAAAUAAAAAAAACUGAAAAAAACUCUGAAGGGAGGCAUUAACAGGAUGUAAUAGACAGUAAGCAAGUCGUAAGUGAAACAAACUAUAUUAGUUAAUGUGGAAAAUAUUAACCAUCUGUAUUCCAAAAAAUAGGAAAUGGGUUUUAAGAAAUAUUUUGCCACCUAAAAGUAGUUUUGCACUAUAUUUGAAGUAAAGAAAACAUUUACUUUAUUAAACAAAAGCCAAGAACCAGCCAGGGUGGAACCCAGGCGGCUGCAGAAGAAGGCAAUUUACCCGCCCUCUUGGUAAGCGCCGCCCUCUGGCACGAGUCAGGAGCAGACCCAGUCAGUAGUUCCCAUGAGCCUACCCCGUCCCUGCAAGGGAUGGAGAUCAAAGGUCCCAGUCCCCCACCCCUCUUAGCUACUGGGCACAGGGAUCUGAGCCUGUCCUGAGAAGAUGACCGUAUGCAAUAUAGCAAAUAUGGGGGAUUUCCUUCCAUCUUCUGUUUGAAGGCAGGUGUUUUUUUCACUGUUUUGUUUCAUUGCGAUUAAUUGUAUUACUCUAUUCAAUAUUCUCUUCUGAAUGGUUUUAUAAUGUUAUUUGAUUUUGCUAUACCUACUUGACUGGACAACUAUUGUGAUGAUAACGAGAUAUACGAUGGUACCUAUUUCUGUUAUCCUGGUAUCCUGCUGGGUAGUUCUGUACCAAUUUCACUGUACUGUCCCAGUUGGCUUUGUUUUGUCUGGUUCUGUUGUGUUUUUACUACCUUCAAAAUUAAAAAAAAAAAAGCCAAAAAGUUUGGCUAAGGGAAAAGCAUAAGAAAAUAAUGUUGUAGGAGAAUUAAAAAUAGUUCUAAAGAAACUUUUCUUGCCUCCCUCUAUACAUCCAGAUGAAUUUGUGAUGGUAAAAUAUUUAAAUGAAAAAUAGAGAUCAUUGAGUGACACAGCAUUGAAUACAAGUAUGAACACAUCAUUUUGGAGUGGAAGAAUUAUACAACUCUCUAAAAUUUACAAACUCACACCUAAACCAAAAGAAAAUAAUAAGCCAGGCACGGUGGCAUAUGUCCAUAAUUCCAGCACUUAGGAGACUGAGGCAGGAGGAUCGUUGCAAGUUCAAGACUAGCCUGGGCCACAAAGUGAGUCCAAGGCCAGCCUGAACUGCAUAGUGAGACCCUAUCUCAAAAAGACAAAACAAAACAAAACAAAAAGACAAAAAUUAUAGACCAAAGAAAAAAUAUUAAUACAUCUGAUCUGGUUGGAAAGCAAUUGAAAUACUGAGGAAAA